AUUUAAAUUAUAGAAAUUUUAGAAAUAGUUCUAUUUCUAAAUACAUUAAAUUUAAAUAUUAAAUAUUAAAUAUUUAAAAUUAAAAAAUUAAAAUUUAAUUUAGAAAAAUUGUAGUAUCCUUGAUGUCCUGCAGCCGUAAGAUUUCAGCAUCUGAGGCUUGUCGACACAUCUGGAGAGUGUCGGGACAAGUCGGAGUCGUUUUGGCCUGAAAUAAAUGCAAAACAGACUCAGUGCGACGCGAGAGCAGAGUUUUAACAUUGGAAUAUGCAAAGUGCAGGUUUUCAGUGUUGGGUACCGGUACCCCAGUGUAUUUUCAAACUGACUGCUCUCGGGUUGCGCCUGAUGCUGAGUACCGGUACGACAUCGGGCUGGUAUCGGUACCCUGUGUGCGAGCUUGCGGGUUGAGAGGCCAUUUGAGUUGGUAAAGGAUAUUAUAGUCUUUAUUGAGUUGGUGAGGGGCGGAAUGGUCUUUUUGGUUGUUGAUAAGCUUGCCACCUACUCCCUCGUUUCAACUUGGUAUGAGGAUAAUUAUUCUUACUCUCUCUCUCUAGUUAAUGGUGUGCGUAGUAGAGGCCUCGGGUGGAGUUCGGAUCGACGUAAACUUUGUACCGGUGAGCCGUUCGAGCGUGGACGUUACGGUUGCACCGUUGGAGGCCGGGCAAGCGCGUGUUUUUCUCUCUUUUCGACUUCUCGCCGUAGUUGGACGAGCGUUUUGAGGUGGGUUGAAAUUUACCGAAAUUAUCGGAAUAUUUUCUAAAUUUUAGUAUUUGUCGAUAUGUAUCAUUCGUCUAUUUUUCUUGCUAGUACUCGAAUUCAUGGAUUAAUGUUUAAAUCUGAAUUUGGAGUUAAGCUAGUAGUUUAAUUUUAUAUGUUGGACUUGAAAUUGACUUAGGAGAAAACAUAUAGAUUCUAUACUGUCACUUUCUGAAAAAUUAUCAGAUUUAACUUCUGAAGCUGUUGCGCCUUAUAUCCACGCUGUUAGUGCGCAUUUGAUACUCAGAUAACUUCUAAAGUUGUUGCGCUUUGUAUCCACGCUAUUAGUGCGAAUUUGAUACUCGGAUAGCAUCUGAAGCUGUUGCGCUUUGUAUCCACGCUGUUAGUGCGCAUUUGAUACUUGGAUAGCUUUAGGCACUGUGGGUCAUUUGUAUCGCCGCUGUUUGUAUACGGUGGAUACCCAGAUUAGCGUAGGAUGAGUUUACGCUCGUGCUGAGAUGACGAGCUUAUUUUACAGUAGUGUGUAGAUUGUUUCGGACUGUCGGGUGCCGUCGCGGUUGACGGUGGAAUCAGAUUGCUGUUUUUGCAUCAGAUUGUACCAAUGGCACUUGAGCUUUAGUUGUUAGACUAAUUAGACCCAUUUACUUUAAUUAUAAUCUGUGAAAGCCUGAUUGAGCUCGACAGAGACAUACUUGCAUACUCGGUUGGGUAGCGCCCACGAGUGCACUCCGAAGUCGGACUUUGUGUAUUUGCGUAGAUGUCGUAGUGUCCAGUGUGGACUUGCUCUUCACCAAUUACCCAGCGUGGUGGUGGUUAGUGUAGCUUCGGCAGGCGAGACGGAUGAGUUCACAGUCCCUAGUGAGAUUGAGUCAGAGAUUGCAUCUUGCUUAUAUUUACAGAUAGCUAGUGUUGGUUAGCGAUAGUAUAGUGGUAUAUACCUGUAGAGUUUUUCCAGCUUCCUUUACUAUUCUUGAGCAUACUUUCUAUAGACUUAGUGGGUGUGCCGUUGAGGUCGAUAGCGGUACCCACUGAGGACUACUUCUUUUUGUAAUAGUUCUCAUACCCAGUUGUUGAACCCUUUUUGCAGAGCCUUCGUCCGCGGCUGCUACUGUUGUUGAUUUGGAUCGUGAAAAGGGAGUCGCGAGCUAGAUCCCUUUCAGCCUUGUUACUGUUCUAGAGGAGUACCAGCUACAGGUAGUUUUGGUUUUUGGUUCAUGUACAUACUGAUAUUAGAUACUCGUUGAAGCGAGUAAUGUUUGUAUCUUGGAGACUAUGUAUGUAUAGUGAACCUGAUGUUUAUCUAUAUGUAUUUACAGUUCUAUUAGCAGCUCUAUACUACUAGUUGUAGUUUUGUAUGAUUACAUGUACAAGUACAGCUAUCGUUUCGUAUACAGAGAAAAUUCUUUUGUAUAUGAUGGGUCUGUUGGCGUGCCCGAAGAAACGUGGUAAUCCGGAGCAUGACAAAAAUUUUGUAUUACUAUUUAAAAAAUUUGUAAUGUUGAUAAAUAUUUUAAUU
rnacentral:lncRNA from 1 species